GACGGAGGGUGCAAGCGUUGUUCGGAAUUACUGGGCGUAAAGCGCGUGUAGGCGGGUCGGUGCGUCGGCCGCUGAAAUCCCCCGGCUCAACCGGGGAAGGGGCGCCGAUACGACCGGCCUGGAGCGACGUAGGGGGGACUGGAACUUCCGGUGGAGCGGUGGAAUGCGCAGAUAUCAGGAGGAACACCGAUGGCGAAGGCAGUUCUCUGGGCCGUAACUGACGCUGAGGAGCGAAAGCGUGGGGAGCGAACAGG
rnacentral:rRNA from 1 species